AAAUGAAUUGACGGGGGCCCGCACAAGCAGCGGAGCAUGUGGUUUAAUUCGAAGCAACGCGAAGAACCUUACCAAGGCUUGACAUCCUCUGAUCUUCAUGGAAACAUGAAUUCCCUUCGGGGCAGAGAGACAGGUGGUGCAUGGUUGUCGUCAGCUCGUGUCGUGAGAUGUUGGGUUAAGUCCCGCAACGAGCGCAACCCUUAUCAUUAGUUGCCAGCACUUAGGGUGGGAACUCUAAUGAGACUGCCGGGGACAACUCGGAGGAAGGUGGGGACGACGUCAAAUCAUCAUGCCCCUUAUGUCUUGGGCUACACACGUGCUACAAUGGCCGGUACAAAGGGCAGCGAAGCCGUAAGGUGAAGCGAAUCCCAUAAAGCCGGUCUCAGUUCGGAUCGUGGGCUGCAACCCGCCCACGUGAAGCCGGAGUUGCUAGUAAUCGCGAAUCAGCAUGUCGCGGUGAAUGCGUUCCCGGGCCUUGUACACACCGCCCGU
rnacentral:rRNA from 1 species